UUUCCGUAGGUGAACCUGCGGAAGGAUCAUUAUUGUAUAACCGAGGUGCGAGGGCUGUCGCUGACCCGAAAGGUCGUGCACGCCCGAGUGCCCUCACACACAUCCAUCACACCCCUAUUUGCACCACCGCGUGGGUCGCCCUUUGGCUUGUUCGGAGGGGGGCUUACGUUUUCACACAAACUUUGUAUGCAGUGUAGAAUGUAUUUUUUGUUUUUGCGAUCACGCAAUCAAUACAACUUUCAACAACGGAUCUCUUGGCUCUC
rnacentral:misc_RNA from 1 species